AUUCCUUUCAUAAUGUCAAAAUCCAAGGUAAUUAUAUUGGUUCAACAGUCAACAGUACGAUAACCCUCAAUAGCGUUUCAUCUCUAAUGUAGAACUAGACACAUCCACUUUGAGAUGUGUUAAAAGGUUGAUUAUCUUUUUUUAUUGCCAUCAAUGACUGCUGGCUCAUUCUAUUAUUGUGCGCAUGUGAAUACACUUCAAACUUGGGGGGCUGUUUUUUAACUAACAAUUAUCUUUCCAAUGUCAGCCCUUCCUCAGUCUGUAUUGACGGCGAGCGCGUCAACCAUCGGAGAGGAAGAGUCCGUUACACUUCAGUGUUCGGCAAGGGCAGGGGAUCCUCCUAAAAAAUGUUGGUUUUACCUGAUUAGUCCAAACGGCGAAAAGAACCUUGCCUUCGAAUGCCAGGCGACAUUUACAGGCUCUGUGCUCCUGGCAGAGAACUUUGCUCUCGCUGAGGUGAAGGUUCGGUGUUAUUACACCAACGAUCGGGGUGAGCCUGCUCCACACAGCGACAUCGUGUCUAUCACUGUAGCAAGAGCCCUUCCUCAGUCUCUAUUAACGGCGAGCGCGUCUUCCAUCAGAGAGGAAGAGUCGGUAACACUUCAGUGUUCGGCAAAGGCAGGGCACCCUCCUAGAAAAUGUUUGAUUUUCCUGAUAAGACCCACUCAGGGCCAAAAAAACAUCGCCUUUGAAUGCCAGGAGACAUUUACAGGCUCUGACCUCCUGAGAGAGAACUGGUCUCUCGCUGAGGUGAAGGUUGGGUGUUUUUACACCAACGAUCGGUGGAAACCUCCGACUGCUCCACACAGCGACAUCUUGUCAAUCACUGUAAGAAGAGCCCUUCCUCAGUCUGUAUUGACGGCGAGCGCGUCAUCCAUCAGAGAGGAAGAGUCGGUAACAGUUCAGUGUUCGGCAAAGGAAGGAGACACUCCUAAAAAAUGUUAUAUUUACUGGUUUAUUCAAGCGAAGGAGCAAAACAAAAUCGCCUUCGACUGCCAGGCAACAUAUACAGGCUCUGACCUCUUGACACGUACCGGGGCUCUUGCUGAGGUGAAGCUUCGGUGUUUUUACACCACCGAUCGGGAUGAACCUGCUCCACACAGCGACAUCGUGUCUAUCACUGUAAGAAGAGGUGAGUUACUACCAUACACAUUUGAUGCUCUGUUCUUAUACAGUGAUGCUUUGCAUGUAUGUAUAUGUGUAUAUAUAUAUAUAUAUAUGUGUAUAUAUAUAUAUAUAUUAUCCCCGCGUCACCCGGAAGUGACGAUUCUGUCGACCAAUCCACGGAGGGGGGGUGUAGCUAGAAUUUCACGGGACCCUUUCAGGCGUCUGGUCUCGUUUUGGGUACCGCAACGGAGGAGUCCCGAGAAUGGGGCCGGAACGGGUACGGCAAAGUCCGGGUCACGCCCACUUUUGGCGGUGGAAACGCGACCUGACCCGCACCUUUGCGAUCCGAUCCGUUCCGCACCCUGCAGUGGAAACGCGCUAUUAGACUGAGCGGCAAUGAGGUCAGAGCGGGUUUGUUUGUUAUCGACAGCGUUGCCAGAUUGGGUAAAUUUCCCGCCAAAUG
rnacentral:lncRNA from 1 species